GACGAACGCUGGCGGCGUGCUUAACACAUGCCAGUCGAACGGAAAGGCCCUGCUUUUGUGGGGUGCUCGAGUGGCGAACGGGUGAGUAACACGUGAGUAACCUGCCCUUGACUUUGGGAUAACUUCAGGAAACUGGGGCUAAUACCGGAUAGGAGCUCCUGCUGCAUGGUGGGGGUUGGAAAGUUUCGGCGGUUGGGGAUGGACUCGCGGCUUAUCAGCUUGUUGGUGGGGUAGUGGCUUACCAAGGCUUUGACGGGUAGCCCGCCUGAGAGGGUGACCGGCCACAUUGGGACUGAGAUACGGCCCAGACUCCUACGGGAGGCAGCAGUGGAGAAUAUUGCACAAUGGGCGGAAGCCUGAUGCAGCAACGCCGCGUGCGGGAUGACGGCCUUCGGGUUGUAAACCGCUUUCGCCUGUGACGAAGCGUGAGUGACGGUAAUGGGUAAAGAAGCACCGGCUAACUACGUG
rnacentral:rRNA from 1 species